AACAGGAUUAGAUACCCUGGUAGUCCACGCCGUAAACGAUGUCGACUUGGAGGUUGUGCCCUUGAGGCGUGGCUUCCGGAGCUAACGCGUUAAGUCGACCGCCUGGGGAGUACGGCCGCAAGGUUAAAACUCAAAUGAAUUGACGGGGGCCCGCACAAGCGGUGGAGCAUGUGGUUUAAUUCGAUGCAACGCGAAGAACCUUACCUACUCUUGACAUCCAGAGAACUUAGCAGAGAUGCUUUGGUGCCUUCGGGAACUCUGAGACAGGUGCUGCAUGGCUGUCGUCAGCUCGUGUUGUGAAAUGUUGGGUUAAGUCCCGCAACGAGCGCAACCCUUAUCCUUUGUUGCCAGCGGUCCGGCCGGGAACUCAAAGGAGACUGCCAGUGAUAAACUGGAGGAAGGUGGGGAUGACGUCAAGUCAUCAUGGCCCUUACGAGUAGGGCUACACGCGUGCUACAAUGGCGCAUAUAAAGAGAAGCGACCUCGCGAGAGCAAGCGGACCUCAUAAAGUGCGUCGUAGUCCGGAUUGGAGUCUGCAACUCGACUCCAUGAAGUCGGGAUCGCUAGUAAUCGUGGAUCAGAAUGCCACGGUGAAUACGUUCCCGGGCCUUGUACACACCGCCCGUCACACCAUGGGAGUGGGUUGCAAAAGAAGUAGGUAGCUUAACC
rnacentral:rRNA from 1 species